UACGAAGGGGGCUAGCGUUGUUCGGAAUUACUGGGCGUAAAGCGUGCGCAGGCGGCUGCUCAAGUCAGGGGUGAAAGCCCAGAGCUCAACUCUGGAAUUGCCUUUGAGACUGAGUGGCUUGAGUACGGGAGAGGUGAGUGGAAUUCCCAGUGUAGAGGUGAAAUUCGUAGAUAUUGGGAAGAACACCGGUGGCGAAGGCGGCUCACUGGCCCGGAACUGACGCUGAGGCACGAAAGCGUGGGGAGCAAACAGG
rnacentral:rRNA from 1 species